rnacentral:tRNA from 1 species
GGGGAUUUAGCUCAGCGGCAUAAGCGCCUGCCUUGCAAGCAGGCAGUCCUGGGUUCGAUCCCCGGUACCG